rnacentral:tRNA from 1 species
GGCUACUGGUGAAACAUCACACUGCCUUGUCAAGGCAGAAUUGUGGGUUAAACCCCCGCGUAGCCU